rnacentral:misc_RNA from 1 species
UUAAGUUCAGCGGGUAUUCCUACCUGAUCCGAGGUCAACCUUGAGAAGGGGGGUGUUUAACGGCAAGAACCCGCCGCACGUCCAAAGCGAGAUGUUUUACUACGCUCGGUGUGACAGCGAGCCCGCCACUGUUUCAGGCCUGCGCAGCCGCAGGGCCCCAACACAAGCCUAGGGCUUGAUGGUUGAAAUGACGCUCGAAC